UACGUAGGGUGCGAGCGUUGUCCGGAAUUAUUGGGCAUAAAGAGCUCGUAGGCGGUGUGUCACGUCGGCCGUGAAAACCUGCAGCUUAACUGUGGGCGUGCGGUCGAUACGGGCAUCACUGGAGUUCGGCAGGGGAGACUGGAAUUCCUGGUGUAGCGGUGAAAUGCGCAGAUAUCAGGAGGAACACCGGUGGCGAAGGCGGGUCUCUGGGCCGAUACUGACGCUGAGGAGCGAAAGCGUGGGGAGCAAACAGG
rnacentral:rRNA from 1 species